rnacentral:sRNA from 1 species
UACCCUACAGAAUCAUAGAUGGAAGACG